rnacentral:tRNA from 1 species
GCUUUUGUAGCUUAGUAGGUAAAGCUGUUGAUUUGUAAUCAACUGUCUCGGGUUCGAUUCCUGACAAAAGUA